CAUACCAGAUGGUGGCGGUAUUGCACCAAAUCGUUGUUUACCAACCGCCGUAACACCUCAGAAAAGUAGUAGAAGAAGAAGAAGAAGGAUAAAAGGAGAUACCGCACACCUGUUCGUCUUUACGCAGGUGUUUUUCUAUCGAGCCGUGGAACGAAAAAGAAAGACGCGACAAAAGUGUCGCUGCUUAACUUCUGAAACUGUUCCGGGAGGAAGGAACUUGUGGCGGUAAUGCACCAACCGCCCGAAAACCUCAAAAAAGAACGAGGGAACUUUAAAAAAAGAAGAGAAAAAAAGAAAACUACUAGUUUUACUAGUUUUCUCGCGUGCAUCAGUUUCUGUACAAAAACGCAACAAGGCGCUCCAGGAUGGCGUGUUCGACCUGGUCCGGAUUGGUGGCCCGUCCAGAAUGGAACAACCUGCUUCCUGCUCACGGAGACCGGGUCGGACCCGCCAUAUACAAAAGCCUGAGGGUGUCAAAAAGAAGAUUGAUCUUCAUGAAGACUGUCAAAUAGUAGGUGUCAUGGUUUAAUUCUGGGUGGCCGCCGUGUCCCCACUCUUUCUUGGCCGCCGUGCCUCCAUCUUUCUGCAUUGUCCAACAUGGCCACGUUAUUUCAAUUCUCCUGCUUUCCAUCUGUCAAAUAGCUGAGGGUUGUACAUGGAGCAUUAGCCACAGGUUGGUUUUGUAUGUUCCUGUCCACUUUAUUGGGUGGUCUGAAAUCUGGUCCUCGUUGGUGAUAUUUUUGUGGAACUGCUGAGCGAGUGAUUUGAAAGAAUGAGGUGACUGAUGGAGGGUUUGAAGUUCUCUCUCUAAAUGAAUGGGUUGUGUGUGAUUGAGAUGCCUGGAUUGAAUAGUUAAGAUGGUCUGAGAAUAUGAUUAUGUUCAGCAGUUCAAGUUAAAGUAGAUAUGGUGUCUUGAAGGCCUUAGAUGCUUGAUAAGUUAUAAUGCACUAACAUUUCCUUUUUAGGUCCGUCUACAAGGGGUGAGUCCAUAUUAUUUUUUUCUUCUCUUGCAGAGUAGGGGAAUUAAAAAAAAAAAGAAAACUUGUGAUGUGUUUUUUUGUGUGAAGGUACUGAGGUGUCUGCAACUGACUUUCUAGUCUGGCUGCCCACCGCUAACUACCAAAUCACACUGACAAUUUAUAUGCAAAGAUAAGAACACGCCUCUCUAUGUAGGCGUUUUUCUUGCCUUGCCAUUGUGCCCUUAACCACUUUUUCUUUCCAACUGUUUCUUAGGACGGUAAGUGACACGCAGGCCGCGGGCCAUCGCUCUUCCGGCCGCCGUGUCGAUCUGUCCUGGCCCUCCUCGUGCCUUUCCUCACCUUAAAAGGAAAAAGAAAUAUCAAAUUGAACUGUUUUGGUUAAAAUAUAGUGAUGUUGGAGGACCAGAUCUUAAAUGAGGUUUAAAUGGAUGUUGGUGUACAGUUAAAGCUAGAUGGUAGGAAUAAAAUUAAUGUUGGGCCUUGUACGCUCUGUCACAAGGCUUAAACUUCUUGGCCGCUGUGCCUUUUUUUUUUUCUCUCUUUUCCAUCGUGGCCAUUAAUCUACCAUUAGCCCUAGAACGUUAAAAUAGAUCCUGGUGAUCUACAUAGUACCUGGCUUUAGAUGGCAGCUGUGCCAUUGCCUUUGUAUGGCCAUACGUCCCUUAAUGCAAGUAGGCGAUGAUCGCUAACUGUGCCCGCGCCUUCGUGGUCUACUUGUGUUAUUGUACGUCUGGCCUUGCGCGUAUAGUCAUUUUACAUAGGCAAACAUGGGUGCCUUCCGCGUCCAUGCACAGUAAGUGAACUAACCUGUACUUUCCUUCUAGCAUCAGUCAAGAGGAGCACCGACAUCCCUGCAUGUCCAUCUUAAUUAGAUUGCGUUUUAGUUAUGGUAAAAUUUAAAAUGUUAAAUGCAGUUUUUCUUUCUUACUUGGCCGCCGUGCCAUUACUAUACCUGCUCUGACCUCAAUCUUGAUUCUUCAUGGUCUCUGUCAUGACUGUACUUGAUCUUGGUGUUCAUGCCAGUCUAUCAUUUCUGAUCUGUUUUUCCUACUAAGUUUUCCUGUGCGUGUGUGGUGCGUGUGUGGUGCGUGCUGUGUGUGUGCUG